rnacentral:rRNA from 1 species
AUGUGAAUUGCAGAUUCAGUGAUCAUCGAAUCUUUGAACGCACCUUGCGCCCCUUGGCAUUCCGAGGGGCACGCCUGUUUGAGUGUCGUGAACUCCUCCACCCUCUAUCUUUUUCGGAAGGCAUUGGGCUGGGAUUUGGGAGCUUGCGGGUCCCUGGCCGAUCCGCUCUCCUUGAAUACAUUAGUGAAGCCCUUGCGGCCUUGGUGUGAUAGUCAUCUACGCCUCGGCUUAGCGAACUUACCGGGACUCGCUUCCAACCGUCUUGCAAGAGACAACUACUACCAACUUGACCUCAAAUCAGGCGGGACUACCCGCUGAACUUAAGCAUAUCAAUAAGCGGAGGAAAAGAAACUAACAAGGAUUCCCCUAGUAACUGCGAGUGAAGCGGGAUGAGCUCAAAUUUAAAAUCUGGCGUCUUCGGCGUCCGAGUUGUAAUUUAGAGAAGUGUUUUCCGCGUCGGACCGUGUACAAGUCUCCUGGAACGGAGCGUCAUAGAGGGUGAGAAUCCCGUCUUGACACGGACCCCCCGAUGCU